AGUGAACGCUGGCGGUAGGCCUAACACAUGCAAGUCGAACGGCAGCACAGUAAGAGCUUGCGCUGACGGGUGGCGAGUGGCGGACGGGUGAGGAAUACAUCGGAAUCUACUUUUUCGUGGGGGAUAACGUAGGGAAACUUACGCUAAUACCGCAUACGACCUACGGGGGAAAGCAGGGGAUCUUCGGACCUUGCGCGAUUGAAUGAGCCGAUGUCGGAUUAGCUAGGUGGUGGGGUAAAGGCCCACCAAGGCGACGAUCCGUAGCGGGUCUGAGAGGAUGACCAGCCACACUGGGACUGAGACACGGCCCAGACGCCUACGGGAGGCAGCAGUGGGGAAUUUUGGACAAUGGGCGCAAGCGUUAUCCAGUAAUGCCGCGGACAGAAUGAAGGCCUUCGGGUUGUAAGCUGCUUUUGUACGGAACGAAAAGGCUCUGGCUAAUACCUGGGGCACAUGACGGUACCGUAAGAAUAAGCACCGGCUAACUACGUG
rnacentral:rRNA from 1 species